rnacentral:lncRNA from 1 species
UUUUUUUUUAUUCUUUUAUUCUUUGCAUGUUGUUGUUCGGUUAACUUUAUUUUGUAUUCCCAUUCUGUUAGAAAUAAACUCAUCAUAGAUACCAGGAAUAAAAUUUAAUGUUUACGCCAUACGCGCGUUUCGUCUACAAAAGACUCAUCCGUGACGCUCGAAUCAAAAUUGUUCUAAAGGCCAAAUAAAGUACGAAUUUGAAGAGCAUUGAGGACCAAAAAUGAUGAUAGACUAGAGUUUUAAAU